rnacentral:rRNA from 1 species
CAAUAGCGUAUAUUAAAAUUGUUGCAGUUAAAAAGCUCGUAGUUGGAUUUCUGGUGUGGUGCGCCUGGUCUCCACCCAAUUAAGGGUGUGUGUAUCGGAUGCGCGCCUACCAUUCCUUCCAGAAAGCGCCAUCUACCCUUCACUGGGACGGAUGGUGCGAUCUGGAUCAUUUACUUUGAAAAAAUUAGAGUGUUUAAAGCAGGCUUUUAUGCUGUGAAUACAUUAGCAUGGAAUAAUAAGAUAGGACUUUGGUUCUAUUUUGUUGGUUUCUAGGACUGAAGUAAUGAUUGAUAGGGAUAGUUGGGGGUGCUAGUAUUUAACGGCCAGAGGUGAAAUUCAUUGAUUCGUUAAAGACUAACUAAUGCGAAAGCAUUCACCAAGGAUGUCUUCUUUAA